rnacentral:rRNA from 1 species
GUGCCUUCGGGAACCGUGAGACAGGUGCUGCAUGGCUGUCGUCAGCUCGUGUUGUGAAAUGUUGGGUUAAGUCCCGCAACGAGCGCAACCCUUAUCCUUUGUUGCCAGCGAUUCGGUCGGGAACUCAAAGGAGACUGCCAGUGAUAAACUGGAGGAAGGUGGGGAUGACGUCAAGUCAUCAUGGCCCUUACGACCAGGGCUACACACGUGCUACAAUGGCGCAUACAAAGAGAAGCGACCUCGCGAGAGCAAGCGGACCUCAUAAAGUGCGUCGUAGUCCGGAUUGGAGUCUGCAACUCGACUCCAUGAAGUCGGAAUCGCUAGUAAUCGUGGAUCAGAAUGCCACGGUGAAUACGUUCCCGGGCCUUGUACACACCGCCCGUCACACCAUGGGAGUGGGUUGCAAAAGAAGUAGGUAGCUUAACCUUCGGGAGGGCGCUUACCACUUUGUGAUUCAUGACUGGGGUGAAGUCGUAACAAGGUAACCGUAGGGGAACCUGCGGUUGGAUCACCUCCUUACCUUAAAGAAGC